GUGUCAGCCGCCGCGGUAAUACAGAGGGGGCCAGCGUUAUUCGGAAUUAUUGGGCGUAAAGGGCGCGUAGGCGGCCCUGCGUGUCUUCCGUGAAAUCCCUCGGCUCAACUGAGGACGUGCGGAAGAAACUGCGGGGCUCGAGUCCGGGAGAGGGGGGUGGAAUUCCCAGUGUAGCGGUGAAAUGCGUAGAUAUUGGGAGGAACACCGGUGGCGAAGGCGGCCCCCUGGACCGGUACUGACGCUGAGGCGCGAAAGCGUGGGGAGCAAACGGGAUUAGAUACCCUAGUAGUCC
rnacentral:rRNA from 1 species